CGGGCGGCGAGCGCCGAGGCGGAGGGAGCGGCGGCGGGCGCGGCGGGCCACGAUGGAUUUCCAGCAGCUGGCCGACGUUGCGGAGAAAUGGUGCUCCAACACGCCCUUCGAGCUCAUCGCCACGGAGGAGACCGAGCGCAGGAUGGAUUUCUACGCCGACCCCGGCGUCUCCUUCUACGUGCUGUGUCCGGACAACGGCUGCGGCGACAAUUUUCACGUGUGGAGCGAGAGCGAGGACUGCCUGCCUUUCUUGCAGCUAGCGCAGGAUUACAUCUCCUCCUGUGGCAAGAAGACACUCCAUGAAGUCUUGGAAAAAGUCUUCAAGUCCUUCAGACCUUUACUGGGGCUUCCGGAUGCAGAUGAUGAUGCAUUUGAAGAGUACAGUGCAGAUGUGGAGGAGGAGGAACCAGAAGCGGACCACCCCCAAAUGGGGGUCAGUCAGCAGUAAACCUCCAAGGGCACCUUCUGGAGAAGGAGAGUGAGCCCGCUGUACCCUAGGUACUUUCUGAUACAAGCAUCAAGUCGCAGAGUACUCUGUACAAGCGUCAGCUUUGUAGAGGAGGAAGUAAACCUUCAAUGCCAGGCAAAUUGGAACCCACCUGCCUGUCAGUCCCAGUUGGUGUAUGAGAGCACAUUUAGCCAUCGACAGGAGAAGCAGAAGCAAGGAACAAUUGUUUUUGUUGGUUUUGGUUUUUUUGGGUUUUUUUUUAGGCAAGACGUGUUUCCUGUAGGGUGUGUGUACUUUCUUUGCCUUCACGUUUCCUUUGAAAGAAAUCUCUUGUAAAUUACAAAACUGUGAAAUGGGUUGCCAAAAACCGUUGCCCUUUGUUAGAUGCCUCGAACAGUGGAAAAAAAAUCUCUCCUGCACCCUGUCCGCAUCUGCUCCCUCCUCCCUUCCCUGGAGGGAGGAUCUCAUCCAACGAUGUAAUUACCAUACGCUUGCUAUUAAAGAGCCUUCCAAACCCUG